AGAAUCAACGCUGGCGGCGUGCCUCAGACAUGCAAGUCGAACGCGAAAGUCCCCUUCGGGGGACAAGUAGAGUGGCGCACGGGUGAGUAACACGUAGGUAAUCUACCUUUGGAUGGGGAAUAACAACCGGAAACGGUUGCUAAUACCGCAUAAUGCAGCGGCACCUAAUGGUGACAGUUGUUAAAGCGGGGGAUCGAAAGACCUCGCGUCUGAAGAGGAGCCUGCGGCGGAUUAGCUAGUUGGUAGGGUAACGGCCUACCAAGGCUACGAUCCGUA
rnacentral:rRNA from 1 species